rnacentral:rRNA from 1 species
CAUGCAGGCGGUCGUACGCGUUUUGUGUGACAGCGGGUGGCUUAACUACCCGAGUAUGCGAAAGACGGUAUGACUUGAGGGCUCGAGAGGGACACGGAAUUCCGGGUGGAGUGGUGAAAUGCGUAGAGAUCCGGAGGAACACCGAAGGCGAAGGCAGUGUCCUGGCGAGUGACUGACGCUGAGGUGCGAAAGCCAGGGGAGCGAACGGGAUUAGAUACCCCGGUAGUCCUGGCCGUAAACGAUGACCACCAGGUGUGGGAGGUAUCGACCCCUUCCGUGCCGGAGGAAACCCACUAAGUGGUCCGCCUGGGGAGUACGGUCGCAAGAUUAAA